rnacentral:rRNA from 1 species
UACGAAGGGGACUAGCGUUGUUCGGAAUCACUGGGCGUAAAGCGCACGUAGGCGGAUUUGUAAGUCAGGGGUGAAAUCCCGGGGCUCAACCUCGGAACUGCCUUUGAUACUGCGAAUCUUGAGUCCGAUAGAGGUGUGUGGAAUUCCUAGUGUAGAGGUGAAAUUCGUAGAUAUUAGGAAGAACACCGGUGGCGAAGGCGGCCCACUGGAUCGGUACUGACGCUGAGACGCGAAAGCGUGGGGAGCAAACAGG